rnacentral:rRNA from 3 species
GAUAGCAUAGAGGACACACCUGUUCCCAUACCGAACACAGAAGUUAAGCUCUAUAGCGCCGAAAGUAGUUGGAGGAUCGCUUCCUGCGAGGAUAGGACGAUGCGGUGC